rnacentral:lncRNA from 1 species
UAUCGGAAGUUACCUCAUUUUCAUUGGCCAUGAAGCAGAAAUUGGCCUUCUCUUCUUGUUCAUCAUCUGAUGAGGAGGAUGAUGAGUCGGAGUCGGAUAGUGUAGUGACAAGAGCCUUCUUCUUCUUGUACUUACUCCCCUUCUUCAGUAAAGGGCACUCAGCUCUUAUGUGACCCGGCUUCUUGCACUCGUAACACCCAAUCCCCUCAUUUUCCCUUUCCUUACCCUUAUCCUUUCGAUAGGAAUUUGAGGGGCCUCUCCUUUGAUGAUAAGCCUUCUUGUGGUUGAUGAAUUUCUUGAACUU